rnacentral:rRNA from 1 species
AGGGGAAUCUUGCGCAAUGGGCGAAAGCCUGACGCAGCGACGCCGCGUGAAGGAUGAAGGCCUACGGGUUGUAAACUUCUGUUAAGUGGGAAGAAAGGCUCAAUUCUAAUAAAGUUGAGAGAUGACUGUACCAUUAGAGAAAGCACUGGCUAAACUCGUGCCAGCAGCCGCGGUAAUACGAGUGGUGCGAGCAUUAUUCGGAAUCAUUGGGCGUAAAGGGUGUGUAGGCGGCAUAUCAAGUCUGUUGUUAAAUCUCCCAGCCUAACUGGGAAAAUGCGGUGGAAACUGAUGUGCUAGAAGAUGGAAGAGAGAAGUGGAAUUCUCGGAGUAGCGGUAAAAUGCGUAGAUCUCGAGAGGAACACCAAUGGCGAAGGCAGCUUCUUGGUCCAAUCUUGACGCUGAGACACGAAAGCGUGGGUAGCAAACAGG